GAACACCUGUGCGUCAUCAUAAGUUAUAAAAGGCCUUGUUAAAUUCAGUAACUUUACAGUAGCUUUACAUCUGACGUUCACCAAAACUUUCACCAGGAACUUGUCUGGGUUUCGGAGUGCUAUGGUUUUGGGAUUUAUCGCCUGCAUUUGGAUUACGUUUCCCUGCCUAGCCCAGUCUGGAUUGUUCGCCCGAACACCUGACUACCGCUUUCUUCCGUGGUUCGUCUUCCGCCUGAUCCUCUCACUCUAGUCCUGUCCGUCCGAGCUUGCUUCCAGCAAGUCCUCCUCUUGGAAGGCUAACAAGUUGAAAUGAAGAAAUUCUGGAAUUAUUCCUGGCAUACCGGAUGUGUGGCAUGUAAUGACAGACAAGUAAAGCG
ensembl:lncRNA